UUAAGCGACUAAGCGUACACGGUGGAUGCCCUGGCAGUCAGAGGCGAUGAAGGACGUGCUAAUCUGCGAUAAGCGUCGGUAAGGUGAUAUGAACCGUUAUAACCGGCGAUUUCCGAAUGGGGAAACCCAGUGUGAUUCGUCACACUAUCAUUAACUGAAUCCAUAGGUUAAUGAGGCGAACCGGGGGAACUGAAACAUCUAAGUACCCCGAGGAAAAGAAAUCAACCGAGAUUCCCCCAGUAGCGGCGAGCGAACGGGGAGCAGCCCAGAGCCUGAAUCAGUGUGUGUGUUAGUGGAAGCGUCUGGAAAGGCGUGCGAUACAGGGUGACAGCCCCGUACACAAAAAUGCACAUGCUGUGAGCUCGAUGAGUAGGGCGGGACACGUGGUAUCCUGUCUGAAUAUGGGGGGACCAUCCUCCAAGGCUAAAUACUCCUGACUGACCGAUAGUGAACCAGUACCGUGAGGGAAAGGCGAAAAGAACCCCGGCGAGGGGAGUGAAAAAGAACCUGAAACCGUGUACGUACAAGCAGUGGGAGCACGCUUAGGCGUGUGACUGCGUACCUUUUGUAUAAUGGGUCAGCGACUUAUAUUCUGUAGCAAGGUUAACCGAAUAGGGGAGCCGAAGGGAAACCGAGUCUUAACUGGGCGUUAAGUUGCAGGGUAUAGACCCGAAACCCGGUGAUCUAGCCAUGGGCAGGUUGAAGGUUGGGUAACACUAACUGGAGGACCGAACCGACUAAUGUUGAAAAAUUAGCGGAUGACUUGUGGCUGGGGGUGAAAGGCCAAUCAAACCGGGAGAUAGCUGGUUCUCCCCGAAAGCUAUUUAGGUAGCGCCUCGUGAAUUCAUCUCCGGGGGUAGAGCACUGUUUCGGCAAGGGGGUCAUCCCGACUUACCAACCCGAUGCAAACUGCGAAUACCGGAGAAUGUUAUCACGGGAGACACACGGCGGGUGCUAACGUCCGUCGUGAAGAGGGAAACAACCCAGACCGCCAGCUAAGGUCCCAAAGUCAUGGUUAAGUGGGAAACGAUGUGGGAAGGCCCAGACAGCCAGGAUGUUGGCUUAGAAGCAGCCAUCAUUUAAAGAAAGCGUAAUAGCUCACUGGUCGAGUCGGCCUGCGCGGAAGAUGUAACGGGGCUAAACCAUGCACCGAAGCUGCGGCAGCGACGCUUAUGCGUUGUUGGGUAGGGGAGCGUUCUGUAAGCCUGUGAAGGUGUACUGUGAGGUAUGCUGGAGGUAUCAGAAGUGCGAAUGCUGACAUAAGUAACGAUAAAGCGGGUGAAAAGCCCGCUCGCCGGAAGACCAAGGGUUCCUGUCCAACGUUAAUCGGGGCAGGGUGAGUCGACCCCUAAGGCGAGGCCGAAAGGCGUAGUCGAUGGGAAACAGGUUAAUAUUCCUGUACUUGGUGUUACUGCGAAGGGGGGACGGAGAAGGCUAUGUUGGCCGGGCGACGGUUGUCCCGGUUUAAGCGUGUAGGCUGGUUUUCCAGGCAAAUCCGGAAAAUCAAGGCUGAGGCGUGAUGACGAGGCACUACGGUGCUGAAGCAACAAAUGCCCUGCUUCCAGGAAAAGCCUCUAAGCAUCAGGUAACAUCAAAUCGUACCCCAAACCGACACAGGUGGUCAGGUAGAGAAUACCAAGGCGCUUGAGAGAACUCGGGUGAAGGAACUAGGCAAAAUGGUGCCGUAACUUCGGGAGAAGGCACGCUGAUAUGUAGGUGAAGUCCCUCGCGGAUGGAGCUGAAAUCAGUCGAAGAUACCAGCUGGCUGCAACUGUUUAUUAAAAACACAGCACUGUGCAAACACGAAAGUGGACGUAUACGGUGUGACGCCUGCCCGGUGCCGGAAGGUUAAUUGAUGGGGUUAGCGCAAGCGAAGCUCUUGAUCGAAGCCCCGGUAAACGGCGGCCGUAACUAUAACGGUCCUAAGGUAGCGAAAUUCCUUGUCGGGUAAGUUCCGACCUGCACGAAUGGCGUAAUGAUGGCCAGGCUGUCUCCACCCGAGACUCAGUGAAAUUGAACUCGCUGUGAAGAUGCAGUGUACCCGCGGCAAGACGGAAAGACCCCGUGAACCUUUACUAUAGCUUGACACUGAACAUUGAGCCUUGAUGUGUAGGAUAGGUGGGAGGCUUUGAAGUGUGGACGCCAGUCUGCAUGGAGCCGACCUUGAAAUACCACCCUUUAAUGUUUGAUGUUCUAACGUUGACCCGUAAUCCGGGUUGCGGACAGUGUCUGGUGGGUAGUUUGACUGGGGCGGUCUCCUCCUAAAGAGUAACGGAGGAGCACGAAGGUUGGCUAAUCCUGGUCGGACAUCAGGAGGUUAGUGCAAUGGCAUAAGCCAGCUUGACUGCGAGCGUGACGGCGCGAGCAGGUGCGAAAGCAGGUCAUAGUGAUCCGGUGGUUCUGAAUGGAAGGGCCAUCGCUCAACGGAUAAAAGGUACUCCGGGGAUAACAGGCUGAUACCGCCCAAGAGUUCAUAUCGACGGCGGUGUUUGGCACCUCGAUGUCGGCUCAUCACAUCCUGGGGCUGAAGUAGGUCCCAAGGGUAUGGCUGUUCGCCAUUUAAAGUGGUACGCGAGCUGGGUUUAGAACGUCGUGAGACAGUUCGGUCCCUAUCUGCCGUGGGCGCUGGAGAACUGAGGGGGGCUGCUCCUAGUACGAGAGGACCGGAGUGGACGCAUCACUGGUGUUCGGGUUGUCAUGCCAAUGGCACUGCCCGGUAGCUAAAUGCGGAAGAGAUAAGUGCUGAAAGCAUCUAAGCACGAAACUUGCCCCGAGAUGAGUUCUCCCUGACUCCUUGAGAGUCCUGAAGGAACGUUGAAGACGACGACGUUGAUAGGCCGGGUGUGUAAGCGCAGCGAUGCGUUGAGCUAACCGGUACUAAUGAACCGUGAGGCUUAACCU
rnacentral:rRNA from 1 species